UACGUAGGGUGCAAGCGUUAAUCGGAAUUACUGGGCGUAAAGCGUGCGCAGGCGGUUUUGUAAGUCUGUCGUGAAAUCCCCGGGCUCAACCUGGGAAUUGCGAUGGAGACUGCAAGGCUAGAAUCUGGCAGAGGGGGGUAGAAUUCCACGUGUAGCAGUGAAAUGCGUAGAGAUGUGGAGGAACACCGAUGGCGAAGGCAGCCCCCUGGGUCAAGAUUGCGCUCAUGCACGAAAGCGUGGGGAGCAACAGG
rnacentral:rRNA from 1 species